GGAAAUGUAGCUCACAGGGUAGAGCAGCGGACUAAAAAUCCGUGUGCCUUGGUUCGAUUCCAAGUUUUUCCACAA
rnacentral:tRNA from 1 species